rnacentral:tRNA from 1 species
AUGUGGCUCAGUGGUAGAGCACUUGCCUCACAUGUGUGAGGUCCUGAGUUUGAUCCUCAGCACCACAUA